rnacentral:rRNA from 1 species
AGUGAACGCUGGCGGUAGGCCUAACACAUGCAAGUCGAACGGCAGCACAGUAAGAGCUUGCUCUUACGGGUGGCGAGUGGCGGACGGGUGAGGAAUACAUCGGAAUCUACUUUUUCGUGGGGGAUAACGUAGGGAAACUUACGCUAAUACCGCAUACGACCUACGGGUGAAAGCAGGGGAUCUUCGGACCUUGCGCGAUUGAAUGAGCCGAUGUCGGAUUAGCUAGUUGGCGGGGUAACGGCCCACCAAGGCGACGAUCCGUAGCUGGUCUGAGAGGAUGAUCAGCCACACUGGAACUGAGACACGGUCCAGACUCCUACGGGAGGCAGCAGUGGGGAAUAUUGCACAAUGGGCGAAAGCCUGAUCCAGCCAUACCGCGUGGGUGAAGAAGGCCUUCGGGUUGUAAAGCCCUUUUGUUGGGAAAGAAAAGCAGCAGGUUAAUCCCCCGCUGUUCUGACGGUACCCAAAGAAUAAGCACCGGCUAACUUCGUG